CGGCGCACGGGUGAGUAACGCGUAUCCAACCUUCCCAUGACUAAGGGAUAACCUGCCAAAGGCAGACUAAUACCUUAUGGUCUUCACUGACGGCAUCAGAUGUGAAGUAAAGAUUUAUCGGUUAUGGAUGGGGAUGCGUCUGAUUAGCUUGUUGGCGGGGUAACGGCCCACCAAGGCAACGAUCAGUAGGGGUUCUGAGAGGAAGGUCCCCCACAUUGGAACUGAGACACGGUCCAA
rnacentral:rRNA from 1 species